AUUGAACGCUGGCGGCAGGCUUAACACAUGCAAGUCGAACGAUGAUUAUCUAGCUUGCUAGAUAUGAUUAGUGGCGGACGGGUGAGUAACAUUUAGGAAUCUGCCUAGUAGUGGGGGAUAGCUCGGGGAAACUCGAAUUAAUACCGCAUACGACCUACGGGUGAAAGGGGGCGCAAGCUCUUGCUAUUAGAUGAGCCUAAAUCAGAUUAGCUAGUUGGUGGGGUAAAGGCCCACCAAGGCGACGAUCUGUAACUGGUCUGAGAGGAUGAUCAGUCACACCGGAACUGAGACACGGUCCGGACUCCUACGGGAGGCAGCAGUGGGGAAUAUUGGACAAUGGGGGCAACCCUGAUCCAGCCAUGCCGCGUGUGUGAAGAAGGCCUUUUGGUUGUAAAGCACUUUAAGCAGGGAGGAGAGGCUAAUGGUUAAUACCCAUUAGAUUAGACGUUACCUGCAGAAUAAGCACCGGCUAACUCUGUGCCAGCAGCCGCGGUAAUACAGAGGGUGCGAGCGUUAAUCGGAAUUACUGGGCGUAAAGCGAGUGUAGGUGGCUCAUUAAGUCACAUGUGAAAUCCCCGGGCUUAACCUGGGAACUGCAUGUGAUACUGGUGGUGCUAGAAUAUGCGAGAGGGAAGUAGAAUUCCAGGUGUAGCGGUGAAAUGCGUAGAGAUCUGGAGGAAUACCGAUGGCGAAGGCAGCUUCCUGGCAUAAUAUUGACACUGAGAUUCGAAAGCGUGGGUAGCAAACAGGAUUAGAUACCCUGGUAGUCCACGCCGUAAACGAUGUCUACUAGCCGUUGGGGUCCUUGAGACUUUAGUGGCGCAGUUAACGCGAUAAGUAGACCGCCUGGGGAGUACGGCCGCAAGGUUAAAACUCAAAUGAAUUGACGGGGGCCCGCACAAGCGGUGGAGCAUGUGGUUUAAUUCGAUGCAACGCGAAAAACCUUACCUGGUCUUGACAUAGUGAGAAUCCUGCAGAGAUGCGGGAGUGCCUUCGGGAAUUCACAUACAGGUGCUGCAUGGCUGUCGUCAGCUCGUGUCGUGAGAUGUUGGGUUAAGUCCCGCAACGAGCGCAACCCUUUUCCUUAUUUGCCAGCGGGUUAAGCCGGGAACUUUAAGGAUACUGCCAGUGACAAACUGGAGGAAGGCGGGGACGACGUCAAGUCAUCAUGGCCCUUACGACCAGGGCUACACACGUGCUACAAUGGUAGGUACAGAGGGUUGCUACACAGCGAUGUGAUGCUAAUCUCAAAAAGCCUAUCGUAGUCCGGAUUGGAGUCUGCAACUCGACUCCAUGAAGUCGGAAUCGCUAGUAAUCGCAGAUCAGAAUGCUGCGGUGAAUACGUUCCCGGGCCU
rnacentral:rRNA from 1 species